GAGCUGUGAAGAAAACUUGGUUCAGCGAUUGUUGGGUCCAUCGCAAACAUCUGAUCUUCAGAUGAAAUCGCCAUACUCUGAGCUC